rnacentral:rRNA from 1 species
ACGCUCGACACCUACGGGAGGCAGCAGUGAGGGAUAUUCGGCAAUGGGGGAAACCCUGACCGAGCAACGCCGCGUGAGGGAAGACGGUUUUCGGAUUGUAAACCUCUGUCCUCUGUGAAGAUAGUGACGGUAGCAGAGGAGGAAGCUCCGGCUAACUACGUGCCGCAGCCGCGGUAAUCUGAGCGGGCUGGCAAGGC